GACGAACGCUGGCGGCGUGCUUUACACAUGCAAGUCGAACGGUGAAGGUGGAGCUUGCUCCGCCGGAUCAGCGGCGAACGGGUGAGUAACACGUGGGCAACCUGCCCCUAACUUUGGGAUAACUACUCGAAAGAGUAGCUAAUACCGGAUAUGAAGUCUGUAGGCAUCUACGGAUUUGGAAAGUUUUUCGGUUAGGGAUGGGCCCGCGGCCUAUCAGCUUGUUGGUGAGGUAGUGGCGCACCAAGGCGACGACGGGUAGCCGGCCUGAGAGGGCGACCGGCGACACUGGGCCUGGGACACGGCCCAGACUCCUACGGGAGGCCGCAUGUGGGAAUAUUGCGCCAUGGGCGAAAGCCUGACGCAGCAACGCCGCGUGCGGGGUGAAGGCCUUCGGGUUGUAAACCGCUUUCAGCAGGGAAGAAGCGAAAGUGACGGUACCUGCAGAAGAAGCACCGGCUAACUACGUGCCAGCCGCCGCAGUAA
rnacentral:rRNA from 1 species